rnacentral:lncRNA from 1 species
GAGCAUCUGAUCCGAAGGUAAGACGCCAUCAGCCAAAUAUUCCAGAUAGGGCGUCAACCAGCAAUUGGUUUGGUCAAUGCACAUUACCAUCUCGUGAAUAACACUAGGAUGUUGCAAAAUUUCCAGAUACACCGACCCCUCAAAAACAUUAACAUCUGUAGUGGCUAGUUUGGCGAGUGCAUCGGCAAUAGAAUUGUUGUUACGCUCGACCCCCCGAAACUCGUACGAUUGGAAAUAUUGAAGCCGUUCCUUUACUUCUGCCAAAUACUUGAUCAUCCUCGGACCUCAGGCUUCGUAUUCUCCAGACAAUUGUUUAACAAUUAAUUGAG